GCAAAUAUGUGUUGCUGGCAGACAUGAUGCUGAAAUAUUAUAGCCAAGUCCAGGUUUGACCGCUGGCAUUUUGUUCUAACCAACUCAGUGGCCUUAGGGCAGACACUCUAACCACAAGGUUGGGAGUUCAAUCCCCUGCUGAAUCAUACCAAAGGGUGUAAAAAUGGAACCAGAUGCGUCUCUGUUUGGCACUCCGCAUUAAGGAGCUAGAUUGAAGGUAAGGCCAUGCGAUAGACUAGAGUCCUGUCCAGCAGGUCCAUCAAACUGCCUCAUGCUACAGAAACAAAAGAUCUGCUCCUCGGGCAAGGCUACUUACUAAAUGUGUUCUGAAUCCUGUAAAACAGUCCAAUAGCACCACCGACAGUCUUAGCACUCCUUUCCAUGAACAUCAAACUCCAGGUGCCAAGCAGGGCACAAACAUGUUCCGGUAUUAUCUGUAUAUUGCUUGUGUUACUGUCUGGUAGCUGUGGGUGGUGAGGUGAUUUGCAUUCAUAUCAGUGUUUAUAUCAGCCACAGUGUACAAUACCUUUCUGUAGAGACGCUCACUUACUCCUCAUCCAGGGAACUCCGUGCAUGACCAGAGAUCCAGCACAAGAGAAACUGAAUGACAUCUCAUCUUCGUCAGAUGGUACUAAUGAAGGCGAGGACAGGGACAGGCUUGUAUUCACUUGCGUGCCUUCUCAUGAUCAAUUUUAAAGUGCUACUGAACACCAGUUCUGGGUUCAAAGUGGUGGAGGGUGCUGACCUCAUCAUUGAGUGUGCCCAUAACCUGCCGGUGGAACCAAAAAUCCCGCUGGUGUUUGUCUGGCUGAUGGAUGGCGUCUCCCUGACGGGCGAGAACAGUAGCCAGCUCACCGUGAAGAAGGUCGGCAUAGCUACCUCUGGCAAGAAUAAAUACGCCUGCACCAUCCAGAGUCCCUGUGGCAACUUCACCUCAGAUCCAAAGGAGAUUGAAUUUGAAGACACGACGCUGUUGGUCAUAGUGAUCUGUGGUGUGUCUGCUGUGGUGCUGAUCCUGGCCAUGGGUAUAGGCAUGAAGAUCAUGCUGAAGAAGGAAUUUGCAAAGACCAAGAACAGGAGGCAGCAGAAUGCUCAGAACCUACAGAGAACUACCACAACAGAGUAGUGUUUCAUUUUCUGCAAAUUCCACCAAAUGUCCUUCAUGCGAAAAUGGCAAAAAUCUGACAUGAUUACACUGUGAAUGGAGAAAUAUGUAGCUAACAAUUUAUAGUUGUAUUUGCUGCAAUUUAAUCAACAUAACACUGACGUUGAGAUAAUUUUAUGAUGGAAGAGCCACAGAUGCAUAUGUUAAUCCUCUGGCAGUGACACACAGCUAGUUUGGAGAUUUGUCCCAAUAAAUAAUAUGCCAAAUUCAUGAUAUUUAAUAAUAAACAUUUACAUGUGGAUGAUGUUUCUAUUUAUAUAAUGAAUGGGGCCUAACAUAAGUGUCCAGAGGCUGCGUGUAGCCUACACAUGAUAGUCAGCAGUUACAUUUAUAGAAGCCAGGUAAG
rnacentral:lncRNA from 1 species